UAUUUAUGCCAUCGCGAUGUAUCUCGAUGAACCAGGUCAGGGCGGAAACGCAGCAGCCUUAAGUUGCUGAUGCAUGUGCGGUGGUUUAUUUAUAUGA
rnacentral:SRP_RNA from 1 species